AUUGAACGCUGGCGGCAUGCCUAACACAUGCAAGUCGAGCGGAUGAAGGGAGCUUGCUCCUGGAUUCAGCGGCGGACGGGUGAGUAAUGCCUAGGAAUCUGCCUGGUAGUGGGGGAUAACGUCCGGAAACGGGCGCUAAUACCGCAUACGUCCUGAGGGAGAAAGUGGGGGAUCUUCGGACCUCACGCUAUCAGAUGAGCCUAGGUCGGAUUAGCUAGUUGGUGGGGUAAAGGCCCACCAAGGCGACGAUCCGUAACUGGUCUGAGAGGAUGAUCAGUCACACUGGAACUGAGACACGGUCCAGACUCCUACGGGAGGCAGCAGUGGGGAAUAUUGGACAAUGGGCGAAAGCCUGAUCCAGCCAUGCCGCGUGUGUGAAGAAGGUCUUCGGAUUGUAAAGCACUUUAAGUUGGGAGGAAGGGCAGUAAGUUAAUACCUUGCUGUUUUGACGUUACCAAAAGAAUAAGCACCGGCUAACUUCGUG
rnacentral:rRNA from 1 species